GUAAGCGAACCCGCCGAACCGAACUAAAAUGCAAUAUGGCCGUCUAAAAUCAACAUGGCCGUAGUAAUGAGUUCCGUUCAACGAGUAAAGUGGAGCAAAGUGAAGUGAAGCAAAGCUUACGAGCAAGCGAGCGUCAACCGAGCAUCAUUCUCGUUAUCUGGACACCAGUAGCUGUUCCAGCUUUCGACUCUACACCAGCCUUCGACACCAGAAGAGUUAUAGAAUAAAGAUGCUGUGGCUGCAUUUGGAAACAUCACCUGAGUGCUCUCGGAUAUCAUUCUAUGAUAGAAUGAUGCCCAAGAGCACUCGGGUGACGUUUCUGAACGCAGCCUGUCGGAAGAGUUAAAUGAGGGAGCUACAAUUACAACCAAGAAAAAGAAAUCUAUGAUCACAUUACUUAGCCUGUUGCAAGUUGCAAAGAAGCAGCUGAUUCCACGUGGAUGUAAGAAAGAGCCUACAAUUAGUUGAAAUACGAGAUAUAACGCAUUUGAAUAAGAUAUAUUGAAUAUAUUACUGUUGUGACAAUGAUUUAAGUUAUUUGGCAACUUAUUUAUAAUAAGUAUUAUGUACGAAUUCUAUGAGAAAAAUCUAUAAAUCAUACAUUGUUGCUAUAAAUUCUGAAGCAUUUUAAUUGGAUAUGUUUAAUUUUAGUUAAGUAAAACUGAAUAAAAAGUAAUACAUUAACGCGCACGUAUACGUUGAAUUGUAUACAAAUAUUUUUACAGCGAAUAUUUUUAUAUGCAUUGAAUGGACACGCGACUUAAGUUUUUACGCUAGUGAAUACUUUUCUCCAAAUAUUUUUCUAUGUAAUGUUUUAUAUGCAAAUUAUAACAUUUUAUGUUUGUACUAAAUAUGUAAUAAAACAUGUGAAAUAAAUAAGUUCAAAAAUUUUA